GCGGAGGAAAAGAAACCAACAGGGAUUGCCUCAGUAACGGCGAGUGAAGCGGCAACAGCUCAAAUUUGAAAUCUGGCCCCUUCGGGGUCCGAGUUGUAAUUUGUAGAAGAUGCUUCGGGUGUGGCCCCGGUCUAAGUUCCUUGGAACAGGACGUCACAGAGGGUGAGAAUCCCGUAUGUGGCCGGUGGCCUCCCCCCGUGUGAAGCUCUUUCGACGAGUCGAGUUGUUUGGGAAUGCAGCUCAAAAUGGGUGGUAAAUUUCAUCUAAAGCUAAAUAUUGGCCAGAGACCGAUAGCGCACAAGUAGAGUGAUCGAAAGAUGAAAAGCACUUUGGAAAGAGGGUUAAACAGUACGUGAAAUUGUUGAAAGGGAAGCGCUUGCAACCAGACUUGCGCGCGGCCGAUCAUCCGGGGGUCCCCCCCCGGUGCACUCGGCCGUGCGCAGGCCAGCAUCGGUUUGGGCGGCCGGACAAAGGCCUCGGGAAUGUGGCUCCUCCGGGAGUGUUAUAGCCCGAGGUGCAAUGCGGCCAGCCCGGACCGAGGACCGCGCUUCGGCUAGGAUGCUGGCGUAAUGGUUGUAAGCGGCCCGUCUUGAAACACGGACCAAGGAGUCUAACAUCUAUGCGAGUGUUUGGGUGGCAAACCCAUCCGCGUAAUGAAAGUGAACGGAGGUGAGAACCCUUAAGGGCGCAUCAUCGACCGAUCCUGAUGUCUUCGGAUGGAUUUGAGUAAGAGCAUAGCUGUUGGGACCCGAAAGAUGGUGAACUAUGCCUGAAUAGGGUGAAGCCAGAGGAAACUCUGGUGGAGGCUCGCAGCGGUUCUG
rnacentral:misc_RNA from 1 species